GCCACUCCCCACAAAGAAGCCCUAGAGAAAAGGAUGCCUUAAAAGAAAACCACAGAAGAAAACCUUCAGUAAUGGGAAGAAUUGGGGAGAUUGAAAAGCAAUUCUAUCAGUUAUUUGCACUAUGAAAGGCCACAUCCAGCCAGAGGAACUUCAUAAAGGAUAAGGAAGCCACUGGGCGGUGAGACCAGCCGCCUUGGCCGGGAGCGCCGCGGAGAAGAGGAGGAUCCAAAAUACCUUACUCAAAUAUACAGAUUAAAUUAAUAUGCUUUUAAAUUA